CCGUGCUAGGCGGGGAACUAGCGGUGCCCUGAACCUGCAAUCCGCUCCAGCAGGGCUGAAUUCCCACCCGAGGACUGCGUCCUUGCAGGCCGCCGCUUCGAGCGACGUUGAGGAUCGGGUC
rnacentral:SRP_RNA from 1 species